CGUCAGCGGAAGUGUUUGUUGCUAAGCUGCAGCCGAGCAGCGACAGACCGUCAACAACCGACAGACAGGUUAUCUACCGACGGUUUACCGGGUCAACUCUGAUGGUUACCGGCGGCGGGCGGUAAACCGUUUCUACCGACAGACAGCCGACAGACAGCCGACAGACAGCCGACAGACAACCGACAGACAACCGACAGACAGCCGACAGACAGCCGACAGACAACCGACAGACAGCCGACAGACAACCGACAGACAACCGACAGACAGCGGGUAGCCUGCCUCAGCUAAGCGCUGCUGCCGUUAGCUUCCAGCCACUGUAAGGCUACUGUAACUACGGUAACGUUAGUUAAUAUAAUAUAUUAUAAUAUAUAUAUUAUAUAAGUUACGGUAAUGAGCUCGGUCGACUGUCUGCGCAGACUCAGUUAAUCUGUUGUUUAAACUGACGGUUGAUCGAUGAGUUUAAUGCUGUUACCUAAUGAGCUUCUGUGGGGCAAUAGUUGUUACCCCGAGGUUCAGCUGUAGUAUCUGUGUGUGUGUCUGUGGGGCAGUAGUUGUUACCCCGAGGUUCAGCUGUAGUAUCUGUGUGUGUCUGUGGGGCAGUAGUUGUUACCCCGAGGUUCAGCUGUAGUAUCUGUGUGUGUCUGUGGGGCAGUAGUUGUUACCCCGAGGUUCAGCUGUAGUAUCUGUGUGUGUCUGUGGGGCAGUAGUUGUUACCCCGAGGUUCAGCUGUAGUAUCUGUGUGUGUGUGGGGCAGUAGUUGUUACCCCGAGGUUCAGCUGUAGUAUCUGUGUGUCUGUGGGGCAGUAGUUGUUACCCCGAGGUUCAGCUGUAGUAUCUGUGUGUCUGUGGGGCAGUAGUUGUUACCCCGAGGUUCAGCUGUAGUAUCUGUGUGUCUGUGGGGCAGUAGUUGUUACCCCGAGGUUCAGCUGUAGUAUCUGUGUGUCUGUGGGGCAGUAGUUGUUACCCCGAGGUUCAGCUGUAGUAUCUGUGUGUGUCUGUGGGGCAGUAGUUGUUACCCCGAGGUUCAGCUGUAGUAUCUGUGUGUCUGUGGGGCAGUAGUUGUUACCCCGAGGUUCAGCUGUAGUAUCUGUGUGUGUCUGUGGGGCAGUAGUUGUUACCCCGAGGUUCAGCUGUAGUAUCUGUGUGUGUGUGGGGCAGUAGUUGUUACCCCGAGGUUCAGCUGUAGUAUCUGUGUGUAUGUGGGGCAGUAGUUGUUACCCCGAGGCUCAGCUGUAGUAUCUGUGUGUGUCUGUGGGGCAGUAGUUGUUACCCCGAGGUUCAGCUGUAGUAUCUGUGUGUGUCUGUGGGGCAGUAGUUGUUACCCCGAGGUUCAGCUGUAGUAUCGGUGUGUGUCUGUGGGGCAGUAGUUGUUACCCCGAGGUUCAGCUGUAGUAUCUGUGUGUGUCUGUGGGGCAGUAGUUGUUACCCCGAGGUUCAGCUGUAGUAUCUGUGUGUGUCUGUGGGGCAGUAGUUGUUACCCCGAGGUUCAGCUGUAGUAUCUGUGUGUGUCUGUGGGGCAGUAGUUGUUACCCCGAGGUUCAGCUGUAGUAUCGGUGUGUGUCUGUGGGGCAGUAGUUGUUACCCCGAGGUUCAGCUGUAGUAUCGGUGUGUGUCUGUGGGGCAGUAGUUGUUACCCCGAGGUUCAGCUGUAGUAUCUGUGUGUGUCUGUGGGGCAGUAGUUGUUACCCCGAGGUUCAGCUGUAGUAUCGGUGUGUCUGUGGGGCAGUAGUUGUUACCCCGAGGUUCAGCUGUAGUAUCUGUGUGUGUCUGUGGGGCAGUAGUUGUUACCCCGAGGUUCAGCUGUAGUAUCUGUGUGUGUCUGUGGGGCAGUAGUUGUUACCCCGAGGUUCAGCUGUAGUAUCUGUGUGUCUGUGGGGCAGUAGUUGUUACCCCGAGGUUCAGCUGUAGUAUCUGUGUGUCUGUGGGGCAGUAGUUGUUACCCCGAGGUUCAGCUGUAGUAUCUGUGUGUGUCUGUGGGGCAGUAGUUGUUACCCCGAGGUUCAGCUGUAGUAUCUGUGUGUGUCUGUGGGGCAGUAGUUGUUACCCCGAGGUUCAGCUGUAGUAUCUGUGUGUGUGUCUGUGGGGCAGUAGUUGUUACCCCGAGGUUCAGCUGUAGUAUCUGUGUGUGUGUCUGUGGGGCAGUAGUUGUUACCCCGAGGUUCAGCUGUAGUAUCUGUGUGUGUGUGGGGCAGUAGUUGUUACCCCGAGGUUCAGCUGUAGUAUCUGUGUGUCUGUGGGGCAGUAGUUGUUACCCCGAGGUUCAGCUGUAGUAUCUGUGUGUGUCUGUGGGGCAGUAGUUGUUACCCCGAGGUUCAGCUGUAGUAUCUGUGUGUGUGUGUGGGGCAGUAGUUGUUACCCCGAGGUUCAGCUGUAGUAUCUGUGUGUGUCUGUGGGGCAGUAGUUGUUACCCCGAGGUUCAGCUGUAGUAUCUGUGUGUGUGUCUGUGGGGCAGUAGUUGUUACCCCGAGGUUCAGCUGUAGUAUCUGUGUGUCUGUGGGGCAGUAGUUGUUACCCCGAGGUUCAGCUGUAGUAUCUGUGUGUGUCUGUGGGGCAGUAGUUGUUACCCCGAGGUUCAGCUGUAGUAUCGGUGUGUGUCUGUGGGGCAGUAGUUGUUACCCCGAGGUUCAGCUGUAGUAUCUGUGUGUGUGUGGGGCAGUAGUUGUUACCCCGAGGUUCAGCUGUAGUAUCUGUGUGUCUGUGGGGCAGUAGUUGUUACCCCGAGGUUCAGCUGUAGUAUCUGUGUGUGUCUGUGGGGCAGUAGUUGUUACCCCGAGGUUCAGCUGUAGUAUCUGUGUGUGUGUGUGGGGCAGUAGUUGUUACCCCGAGGUUCAGCUGUAGUAUCUGUGUGUGUCUGUGGGGCAGUAGUUGUUACCCCGAGGUUCAGCUGUAGUAUCUGUGUGUGUGUCUGUGGGGCAGUAGUUGUUACCCCGAGGUUCAGCUGUAGUAUCUGUGUGUCUGUGGGGCAGUAGUUGUUACCCCGAGGUUCAGCUGUAGUAUCUGUGUGUCUGUGGGGCAGUAGUUGUUACCCCGAGGUUCAGCUGUAGUAUCUGUGUGUCUGUGGGGCAGUAGUUGUUACCCCGAGGUUCAGCUGUAGUAUCUGUGUGUGUCUGUGGGGCAGUAGUUGUUACCCCGAGGUUCAGCUGUAGUAUCUGUGUGUGUCUGUGGGGCAGUAGUUGUUACCCCGAGGUUCAGCUGUAGUAUCUGUGUGUGUCUGUGGGGCAGUAGUUGUUACCCCGAGGUUCAGCUGUAGUAUCGGUGUGUGUCUGUGGGGCAGUAGUUGUU